CCUCGAGAUUUGCUCACCUCAGCCUCCCAAAGUUCUAGGGACCACCACCUUCAUUCACCCGCACCCAAACCACCCUUCUUAAAGGGAUCCCAGUAGUUCCUAAGCAGUAUAGUAUUGAGUGAGGGGUGAGUAGAAAGGACAACACAGCACAGGGAGCAGACCCUUACAUUAUGGAAUAAGAAGGACCACACAAGAACAAUGGCAAGAAAAUGAGGGCUGACCUCAAGCCCUGACUUAGGGGUUUCAAAGAACACAUGAAUACUAGCAAGCAUUUGGGCAGUUUGAAAGCAUUCCCAAUGAAGGAGUCAGAAAUAUGGUUUGACACUCAUCUUUCCCAGAGAGGAAAGGCUAUCAGAGAUGUCAUACAGGCAACAGAAGCCUCUUGUCUUCAUCCUGGGCUUCCAGAACUUGGCUGUACUCUGCCAGUGGCACCCACCUCUUCCAAGAAACAGUCAUGUUCCUCCUCUUUGAGAAAAUCAAUGUCCCUGGAGGAGAUGAUGCCCACCAAGCGGCUCCCCAUCCGGCCUGUGUCUGUGAUUGGGAUACCGCAGAAACCAUGCCGGGCCUUCGCCUCAAAAACAUCCCGCACGCGAUCCUUGGGGCUGAGCACUACAGGGUCUGUGAUGAAUCCCUGCUCGUAUUUCUGGAAGGGGAUGGUGAGAAAGAGCAUUGCAUCUUUGAACUACUUUCAUCAGGCUGUUAAUCUGAAGCAUGGGGUCUCUGCUUAAUGAUCCCUGUGGCAGUGCCACAGGACCAAAUCACACCAACACAUCUAUGAGGAGACAUGGGUGGGCUAGAGGCACUGUCUACCUGGUCUAUUGCUGCUGCUUUAAGAAACAGAAUCUCAGGCUCUUCUCAGUAAUUGAAUCCCAUGGUGGGAAGAAAGGACACUAAAUUAAUAGAACAAAUCCCUACUCCCACCCCACCUCAGUGCAAUUCCCAGGAGUGCUUGCUAAUGAUCCUUGCCCUUCUGACCUUCACUUUUCGAACUUCAUUGGCUUGGAAUUCAGGUGUACAGUUGUGAUGGAUGAAGCCAAUACCGCCUGUAAGCUACAGGAUAAAAAGGGAUUACUAAGUGACCAGAGGCAGGACUGAAUGCCUUUGGGGAAAGGUGAUGGCAUCCUUGCUCCUACCCCCACACCCCAUGGGGCUCACCGCCAUUGCUAUGGCCAUCCCAGCCUCUGUGACUGUGUCCAUGGGAGAGGAAAUCAGUGGGGUCUUAAGAGUGAUUUUCUUGGUCAGAGCAGAAGUCAGGUCCUGAGGAGAUAAAGGUCAACCAGUGUGGGAAAGCAUCGCUUACAGCUCAAGGUGUUACUGGGUCCCCCACAAACAGGUACUUCUAUGACCUACAUGCUAACCAGUAACAUGAUCCCACAAAAUUCACCCCCAAACCCAAUCUGGUGAGGUAGCCAAGACCAGGUGACAGUAGCACCUUACCUCGCCUUGAUGUUCAGAACCCAAUUCCUGAUUAUACUCACCACCUGGUCUGCAGUGAAGUCGAUGUACCCAGGGAGAAUGAGAAAGUCACUGCGAGGGAAGGGAGUGAAUUGAGAGUAAAGCUCUCAGGCUUAUGGCUGGAUGAGAAUCUAUACUCCAUCCCCAUAGAUCAACCCGUAAGGCAUGUGGGCAGUGUCGCACUGACAGAGUCUGUGUGUCACAGGCACGGCACAGCACAAGGUGGAGAUGGGGACAGGGGACCUUUUCUGCCACCGAGCUGUCAUCAGUGCUCCUGGCACCCUGACAAUUACGUUUCUGGAGCAUGGAGUCUCCAGCCUGAAAUUCCAAGCACUAUUGAGAUGCUUCUCUGUACCCCAAGCCCCGCUCUAGAUGUCUCAAAGUGAGACCCUAAGGUGGGUGGCCAAUUGCCGGAACCUAUCCCCCACGCCCGCUCCCAAGAAGGCUUCACGGAAGCCCCCAUCUGGCCUUUUCGCCCAGUGUGCCGCCCCUCUCCUCGCCCAGCUGGGCCCCAUAAGGCCCGCACUUGUAAGUGAGGCCGUCUCCGCAGUUGAAGAGCUGCUGUGCUGUGAGUCCGUCGUCUGGCACGUAGGACGUGCCACCGCUAAUCAAGUAGUCGGCCAUGGCCAAAACAGGACACCGCCGCGUGUCUCCGAGGACCGCGCCGCAGAGACCUCUGCCGUCCGGGCCGCGCCAAUAUAAACCAGCCGAUUUCGUCACUGCGCUGCGCGCGACGCUGACGUCAGGGCGUAGCGCGCGCAGGCGGAGCCUAACAGCCUCGCGGCAUCGGCGACGAGACUGGUGCUGGAAAACCGGCGCAUGCGUACAGCAGGAAAUGGCCUACUAACUGAGGAGCUGCGGUUUCACAUCCCACCCCACUCCCUGCAGGACCCGGGCCCGUUCAAUUAACAGACAAGCCUUUGCUUCCACUGUCCCGCCGGGCUCCUCCCCAAAAUAAAGAGGCGUUGUUCACUAGCAUGUUGAAAAGACGUGCUUGUCAUUCUUAAUAAACAACUAGAGUAAGAAUACAUAAGAGAAACAGAGUGGUAUCUUUAUAUGAUACACAAGUGUAUGUUACAAGAAUUCCAUCAGGCACAGGAGCCUCAGGUUUUAAGGCCUCAAUGAUAGGCCCAAAAAAAAAAAAAA